rnacentral:lncRNA from 1 species
UAUCUCAUAAUUCUUACUUAAAAUAUUAAAACUCAUUUUCUAUGCAAUUUCCAUUUGACAAAUCAGUUACCACACCACCAACGACCAAAACAUCAAACAAAAUUAAACCCCCAAAUAUAUUAUAUAGUUUUAUCUAAAAACCAGAAACAUAAUUAGUUUACCCACCUUCACACUUCAAAAGUCAGGAUCUCCCAUCAAAAGGGUCAGAAUCUUCUUAUCUUUGUAUCAUACCAAAGACUAUCUCCAUUACCAUGUGUAUAUAAUAUGAUUCUAAACUCGUAAUUAUCAUAAAUUCAUUAUACUAUAUCCUAUCAUUCAUUUAUCAUAAGCUUCAUAAUUGAUCUUCACCUGAAAAAAAACGUAACUAACUAAUCGUUAUGUUUCCGUUUUUCAGUUACUUUAACUUUUUCUUCUUCUUUGUCGCUCUCUUUAUUUGCCGCCCAUGCUUUACCGCGAGGAUUAUACCAGAAACCGUAACCGUAAUAACAACUUCUGAAAAA